CACCUCCCACGUAAUCGCGAUCCCACCCAAGAAUCAACUACCCACGAACACACGUCCCCGACGCACCCGACCUCCUCAUCUCCUGCACCCCACCUCGUCGCUCCCGAUCCCAUCUCUCUCUCCGCUUCCGGCCGGCCUACGGGCGGAGGAACCGAUGUGGGUGGCCUGCAAGAUCGCGCGCCUGCCGCAGGAGCUUGUCUCGGCGGCGCUGGCCCGCACGUCCUCGCGCGAAGCCUACCCCCCGAAGGGAUAGUUUCGAUCAAUCCGUGUUCUUAUUUGGAACUGAAAGCAGCUGAAUACUUUUGGUGUAUACUAGUUUUUGGAAUCAGGCAAACAUGACGAGCAGGCAGGAGCCCUGGACUCGACUUUCCCACAGUAAGAAGUUACCAGGAUGGGUGGCGUACAAUCCAAAGACCAUGAGGCCUCCACCAUUGAGCGGCGACACCAAGCAGAUGAAGAUUCUAUCCUGGAAUGUCAAUGGGCUGAGCAAUAUUGUACAGUCAGGAGGUUUCUCUACUGCGUUGGCUCAGAGGGAGAAUUUUGAUGUGUUGUGUCUUCAAGAGACACAUUUGAAGGAGGGUGAUGUUAAAGAUUUCAAUUCAAGAACCUGAUACCAGGGUAUGAGUAUAACUAUUGGCCAUGCAGUGUCGCGAGGCUUGACUAUUCAGGGACUGGAGUAAUUUCAAGGGUAAAACCAAUCUCUGUCCAAUAAGGAAUUGGCAUAGCUGAACAUGAUCAGGAGGACAGGGUUAUUACUUUGGAGUUUGAGAACUUUUACGUGGUGAAUGCUUAUGUCCCAAAUUCUGGCCGUGGUUUACGUAGACUGGUUUACAGGAAGGGGUUAAGCUGCUGGGGACAUGGCUGGAGGGCGACCGCACCCUGACCUUCUGCCGCCUCCUCGCCCGCAACACCGUCAGGGCCAAGCCAUCCCAACUCGCCUUCGAGGCCACCUGGGAAUAAAUUAGUUCAGAUCGGGAGAGCAUUGUUCAUUGACAUGACCCACUGGUGGGAUCGACAUGCUUACUUGAUGACAACACCUCGAUGUGACCAUUCAUUGCCACCAGUCAUCGUGACAGUCGGUCAAUUAGAGUGGGUUAAAGCCUUGAAACAACAUUUUUUUUUGUGGAAUUAGACAUUUACUAGCGCCAAAGAAGCACGACGGUAUGCCACGCCUGUGGCGGAGGCCGUUCGUACUUUGCGUAAGCCCGUUGUGGACACUGCAAUAUAAGGUUUGCUUCCAGUUGAGAAAGUAAGUGAGAAUGAGAUGGAGCAUGAAAUUCCAGUUGAGAAGGCAUGAAUCAUCUGACCAAUAUCACUGGUUCCUUUGCACGAGCAUGAAGGCAUGCAUGAAGCAGAGGGAGUAGAUCAUGGCACAUCGAGUGGGGUUAAUAAUAUACCGCCGAGAAGCAGUCGUGACAAAAAAAGGGUCCAAGGCGUGGGAUGGUUUUGAAGACAUAAAAGAUGAUAAUGGAAAGACUAUGCAGGUAGAAUGUAGACACUGUAAAAAGAGAGUUCAAUACUAAGGUGCACAAGGGCCAGGGCUGUUGACGACUCAUGUUAAUAGUGCCGAGUGUAAGAAAAAGAGAGGAGCACGUUCCCAGCUGCCAAGCCAAUCAAAAUGGUGCUGCUGAAGAUAUAUACCACCCUGGUUGCUGUCAGUAAUUCAUCCAGCAGAAUAAGGAUGAGAACGAAUCAAGAGCCAACACAGAUCUCCACAGUUGUUGCUCACUAUUGGAAUAAGGACGAAAUUUCCAGGCGUAGGCGCUGUAGUGGUCAUCAUCUUUGCCAAAUGCAGUUUUUUUUACUUUACUGGUUGCUGAUUUCUUCAAGUGGAGAUCAAGUGAACCAUUUGACAUCUUUCGAUUAUAUGUAUGUGUCAACUUGUCUUGCUUAUUUGUUGUUCUGGAGGCAGUUUAGAUCAUCUUUAUUAAUUCACACAUGUUCUUUUAUGCACUUGAUCCGGGAAUGAGGCUGGCUUGGGCAGAGACAGUCAGUCACCUUCUGGAGCUAGAUGGAGAGCUUAUCACCUUAUAUAUUUACAACCAUGUCGAUGACCGAUGCCCUCGGCCACCUCAACACUGUCGGCGCCAUUUCUUCAAUGGAGCAGAUGGGGUAGCACAAUGUGUUUCCGAUGUUAGAAUCAGACUGGCGUGAGCGUUGUAUGUUUGCUUGCGUGAGCAUUGUAUGUGUGCUUGUGGAGUCUGUGGGUUAUUUGAUGCGCUACUAUUGGAAGGUGAGGCGUUGAUGAUGAAUAGAAUUUUGAAUCCCACCCGCC